AUUGAACGCUGGCGGCAGGCCUAACACAUGCAAGUCGAGCGAGCGGCGGACGGGUGAGUAAUGUCUGGGAAACUGCCUGAUGGAGGGGGAUAACUACUGGAAACGGUAGCUAAUACCGCAUACCAUCAGAUGUGCCCAGAUGGGAUUAGCUAGUAGGUGGGGUAAUGGCUCACCUAGGCGACGAUCCCUAGCUGGUAUGAGAGGAUGACCCGCCACACUUGAACUGAGACACGGUCCAGCAUCCUACGUGAGGCAGAAGGGGGGAAUAUUGCACAAUGGGCGCAAGCCUUAUGCAGCCAUGCCGCGUGUAUGAAGAAGGCCUUCGGGUUGUAAAGUACUUUCAGCGAGGAGGCGUUACUCGCAGAAGAAGCACCGGCUAACUCCGUGCCAGCAGCCGCGGUAAUAC
rnacentral:rRNA from 1 species